rnacentral:rRNA from 1 species
CGACUCUCGGCAACGGAUAUCUCGGCUCACGCAUCGAUGAAGGACGUAGCAAAAUGCGAUACUUGGUGUGAAUUGCAGAAUCCCGUGAACCAUCGAGUUUUUGAACGCAAGUUGCGCCCGAAGCCAUUCGGUUGAGGGCACGUCUGCCUGGGCGUCACG